UUUUCUUUAGCUUACAACAAAGCGUCAGUUUGAAGCACUGAAGACAACUUUUGUUAAGAAGCG
rnacentral:tRNA from 2 species